rnacentral:tRNA from 1 species
GCCCGGUUAGCUCAAUCGGUAGAGCGUGAGACUCUUAAUCUCAAGGUUGCGGGUGAGUAGCAUGUUCAGCCCAUAUACAUAUAAUCAUUGCGUAUUAACCCUAUGAUCAAGGUUCGACCCCCGCAUCGGGCU